rnacentral:lncRNA from 1 species
UUGUUUAGCUAUGCAUUAGAUUUUUCUACCUAAGAUGGCUAUGGUUUAUGAUAACGCCUAGAUGUUUUUACUAAACAUGAACCAAAAGUUUCGCCACAACGAGUAGACUUUUUUUUACCAAGUGAUUAUAUGCUUGCUAAUCAAGUAAAUGAAAGACUGUCAAUGUAUUCUCAAUAUACAUCUCAUAGAUAUUUAAAUCUAUUUCCCAUAAUGCAUAUGAAUCUAUAACAAAAUAUUUCGAAACUGGUUAUACUUAUGUCCCAUAAAUUAUUAUGCGCAUUAUAAAUUUCUUAAAUUACAGAUUCAAAUUGAUAUGAUUUCUGUAGAUUUAGUGCUAUUUAAGGUAUUGAUUGAUCUUAUUAAUUGCAUCAAAGGUACCUUAAUGAUAUAUACAUGAUUUGUUUUGGCAACAAUACAUGAUUCUAUAGAUGAGUAUAUAUGGAGAUAUAUUUUUCAUAAAUAUAGUGACAUAUUCUCUCUUUCCUAAUCUAAUCCCCACCAUCUAACUUAUUUAAGAUUAGUACGACCCAUUUUCUUUCAAUCAUACCAAAUUACCAACACACCAGCGAUACCAUAUUUAUUUGAUUUCCUCAUUUUCAAUGGCUUCCUUUAACUCUUUAACUCGGUUUCCGAUUUGAAACCAAUAAAGUUGGAAAAUCAAGGUCAAAAUCGUA